CGAGAAUUUACAAAAAUACUUGGAAACGUAUUACAUCG
rnacentral:sRNA from 1 species